rnacentral:tRNA from 1 species
GCCUCGGUACGCAAAUUGGCAAAGCGGCAGAGCUAAGGACUCUGUGAUUGUUUAUGGGUUCGACUCCCAUUCGAGGUA